AGACGAGCCAGGACGACCGUUGCCAUGGUGAAUGUCAGUGGGAGGAGCCAGGAGUGGGUUGAACGUUAUCUGAGCUAGAAGAGGAAAUGCUGAUGUGGCAGAAUUAGAGGCGAACUUCUGGAGGAGCUGAGUAAAGAAGAUAUGAAACUCUGGAGAAAAUCCAUGGACGAGAUGAAUGAAGCAGAGAAGAUUGUGAGAUGACCGGAGUAGAAGAAGACGUCGGAGCCUGGGGAGCGGGAAGAUCGGAUUAGACGAGAUCGGAGGAGAACCACUGGAGAAGCCGGGCCGGGUGACGCGGCGGCGGGAGCCGCGGUGAAGGCAGGGUGACCUCGGUGACGCUUAGUAGGAGGAUUGGAGGAGUUCUUAAGGCGCUUUCCACAUGCCCGGAGCUGAGACGAGGGGAAAAGGGGCCAUCAAGGCAGGAGGCCAGUCAAACGUUCCUACAAGCGGAGGAAGAGGAAGGAGGGCGGAAUUCGUCACAAACAGUAGGAGGAACCGCCAAGUCGCCAGAAACUAGUCGGACAUGUCGCAGCUGAUCGUCGAAGCUCAGCAGAAGAGCAAAAGGUCUUUAAAAGUGAUGCCCUGGGAGAUGAUUGGCUGAGGAGGAGUGCGGCCCUGCCGUUGAUUGGAGCAGCCAGUGAGGAGUGAUUGGACAGACGGGGUGGUGCUGCCAGCAGGAGAUUGCCGGAGACUACAGGUGUGGCUCAUUGGUUCAUCAGCUGGGAAGCAUAAAGAGGAUGGAUUGCCCGUACUUCGUUGCCUGAGUGCUUUGCCCUCUGUGGCGUGAUCUGAUCCAGACCUCUGUUUGUUGUGCGGACUCCUUCCUGGACUAGGACUGAACCUGGCAGACUGUGUUCCUCUCCUGACUCUGUGCCUCUCCCUGGCGGGUUCCACGCCCUCCCCAUGACGGGGAUUAGGCUCACCGCUUUUCAUUAGUGCCUGACUGUGUUUUCAAUAAACUUCAACUAAACUGAUCUUGUUUUCUGAGUGUCUCGGCAUGUGGGUUAAGUCGGCAGUAAAAACCAUGACACAAACGUAUGUAACAGAUUUUGAAUCUGCCUGUAUGAUGGGAUUGAUUUUUAA